rnacentral:lncRNA from 1 species
AGUCUAGGUUAUCUUAAGACUUGAAGAUAUCCGACCUAUGUCAAGAGAUAGAUAGUUGAUAAAUUAGAAGAUAAAUCUGUAAUAGCUUAUUUUAUAGGGUAUCCAAAAGAAUCAAUGAGAUACUACUAUUUUCUAUAAGAUCACAGUGUGAUUGUGAGUUGGAACACCAUACUCUUAGAAAAAUAAUUUAUCCAGGAUGGUGGCAGUGGG